GUCUAUCAAAUAUUUGUGGAGUAUCUUCCACGAUUCAUUUUGCCUCUGAAUCUUAGAAUUUUCGACAAGAAAUAUCAUUUCUUUGCUUUCAUUUUUUCCAUAGGACUUGAUAUCAUCAUUGUCCUUUGCUUUCUAAAUCGAAGCAUAUUUAUCACCCUUUUGAGCUGCUAGAUAAGCUUCUAAUUUCUCAUAUAAUGGAUUGUCUUCUGGAAUAUCAUCUAGAUGAAUCGACGAUGUUAAUGAUGAAGAUUCUCAUUUCUACGACACCUUAGAGUUUAUCAAACUCUUAUUCCCUAUUUGUAUUACCGAGGAAUUAGAGGAGGAUCCGUAUGAAGAUCCUGAAUAUGAUCUAAUUUUUAGGGAUGAUCUUCUCCUUUUACUGGAGGCUGAUCUUCCACCUAAUCUGCCCUAUCCUUUUUCUCUGGCUAUCUUCCAUGGUGGAUUUGUAUGCAUGCUGCAAAGAUUACAAUUAAUCAGAUAUUUCCAGAUCAUACCAGUCAAUAUCUCUAAUCUCUUCUUAAUUGAAGACAAAAAAUUCUUCUUCAACCAUAUCAUGGAUUAUUUGAUCAAUUAUUAGAUUUAAAACAUCUAUGUAUAAUGGAAUUACCUUUAAUAUAGUAAUCAAAGUUUUUUCAGUAAGAAAUAAUGUAUAAAAAUUUAUUUUAACUGAGAUAUUCCCUAGAUAGAAAAUCAGGAAGGGAAUUAUCAAUUUCUUUUUUAUACUGAUUCUCAAAAUCAAAAAGGGCUAAUUAGGAUUGCUACCUUGCAAAUAUUAAAUUUGAAGCAUCAUGUUUAAAAUCUAUAACAAAUAUAUACUUCACAGAUUGAGCAUCAAUUUUUAGCAAAAACUUUUGAUCAUAAAGGUCAUCCUGAAAUUUUAAAACACAUUUAACAAUGGUUAGCAUUUCAUGAGCUACGGUAGUAUAUUUAUUAUGACUAUCUAUCUAUUUACAUGAAUGAAUUCUUAUCAAGUAUUUAGUUUUAUUAUGGGGAUUAAAUUGUUUCAAUAUUCCUCUAUAACCAAUAUUAGAC
rnacentral:lncRNA from 1 species